UCAACARCAACAAACAUUUAAAACAACAAAAACAUCGUCAACAAACAGCACGCUUGCCAUGAAGCCCGGUAGCAGCAUCAAUCCCACACGGCUCGUACAUCAUAGCGACGGUAAUUAAAAACUUCAAGUGUAAAUGAAUGAGUUUAAUGGUCCAAUCAACAAAGUAUAAAGAAACAAAACGUGGAACUCUCAAUAUAAGUGAUUAAUACCAAAAUGUGGUCUAUGUAAAUCAGUUGAUUUCUACAAUCAUUAGAGCAAGAGGUCUUCAGCAUUACCAGCUGGCGUUGCGGGCUUUCUUCUGGACUUCAAUAAACUACUUGAAUAAUAACGGAAAUGUUGCCGCUGUAAUAAGUUGUGAAAAGUGUCAAACAAAAGGAGCAUAAAUCAAAAAAGUUUGAAGGAGUGCCGAAAGGGAGCGCGUGGAAGAAAGAGUACAAGAAGCAGCACUACAAAUACAAAAGGUCCAUAAUAAAGGCUUACAACACAAAUACGAACGGUUAAUUAAAAAGCAUAAGAGAGCCCAAAAGAAAGCUUUUCUAAAGCUCAUAGAAAAAUAUUGUAAACAAAACUCGUUUAUAAAAGAGAAAAAAAGCUGCGCAAACUA